rnacentral:rRNA from 1 species
GGGGAAUCUUCCGCAAUGGGCGAAAGCCUGACGGAGCAAUACCGCGUGAGGGAGGAAGGCUUUUGGGUUGUAAACCUCUUUUCUCAGGGAAGAAGUUCUGACGGUACCUGAGGAAUCAGCAUCGGCUAACUCCGUGCCAGCAGCCGCGGUAAUACGGAGGAUGCAAGCGUUAUCCGGAAUUAUUGGGCGUAAAGCGUCCGCAGGUGGCCUUUCAAGUCUGCUGUCAAAGACCAGAGCUCAACUCUGGGCAGGCGGUGGAAACUGGGAAGCUAGAGUACGGUAGGGGUAGAGGGAAUUCCCAGUGUAGCGGUGAAAUGCGUAGAGAUUGGGAAGAACACCAGUGGCGAAGGCGCUCUACUGGACCGAAACUGACACUCAGGGACGAAAGCUAGGGGAGCGAAAGGGAUUAGAUACCCCUGUAGUC